UACGGGGGGGGGCAAGCGUUGUUCGGAAUUACUGGGCGUAAAGGGCUCGUAGGCGGCCAACUAAGUCAUACGUGAAAUCCCUCGGCUUAACCGGGGAACUGCGUCUGAUACUGGAUGGCUUGAGUUCGGGAGAGGGAUGCGGAAUUCCAGGUGUAGCGGUGAAAUGCGUAGAUAUCUGGAGGAACACCGGUGGCGAAGGCGGCAUCCUGGACCGAUACUGACGCUGAGGAGCGAAAGCGUGGGGAGCAAACAGGG
rnacentral:rRNA from 1 species